CACGUAGGGACCAAGCGUUGUCCGGAUUCAUUGGGCGUAAAGAGCUCGUAGGCGGUUCGGUAAGUCGGGUGUGAAAUCUCCAGGCUCAACCUGGAGGGGUCAUUCGAUACUGCCGUGACUAGAGUUCGGUAGGGGAGUGUGGAAUUCCUGGUGGAGCGGUGAAAUGCGCAGAUAUCAGGAGGAACACCGGUGGCGAAGGCGGGUCUCUGGGCCGAUACUGACGCUGAGGAGCGAAAGCGUGGGGAGCGAACAGG
rnacentral:rRNA from 1 species